UACGUAGGGGGCUAGCGUUGUCCGGAUUUAUUGGGCGUAAAGAGCGUGUAGGCGGCCAGGUAGGUCUGCUGUGAAAACUCGAGGCUUAACCUCGAGAUGUCGGCGGAAACCAUCUGGCUAGAGUCCGGAAGAGGAGAGUGGAAUUCCUGGUGUAGCGGUGAAAUGCGCAGAUAUCAGGAAGAACACCCGUGGCGAAGGCGUCCAUCUGGCCCGUUACUGACGCUGAGGCGCGAAAGCUAGGGGAGCAAACGGG
rnacentral:rRNA from 1 species